AGUGAAGCGGGAUGAGCUCAAAUUUAAAAUCUGGCUGGUUUACUAGUCCGAAUUGUAGUUUAUAGAAGCGUUUUCGGUGGCAGCCUGGGUAUAAAUCCUUUGGAAUAGGGUAUAUAGAGGGUGAGAAUCCCGUCUUUGACUCAGUGCAUGCUACUAUGUGAUACGUUUUCAAAGAGUCGAGUUGUUUGGGAAUGCAGCUCAAAAUGGGUGGUAAAUUUCAUCUAAAGCUAAAUAUUGGCGAGAGACCGAUAGCGAACAAGUACCGUGAGGGAAAGAUGAAAAGAACUUUGAAAAGAGAGUUAAACAGUGCGUGAAAUUGUUGAAAGGGAAACGCUUGACACCAGUCAUGCGAGUGGAAAAUCAGUCUUUUGCAAUGGGGAGUUGUGGGCGUUCAGACCGCAAGGCUGGCGUUUGCUUCAUCUUUGUUGUAAGUGAUGCACUUUUUCAUUUGCAGGUCAACAUCAGUUUGCUUUGCUGGACAAAACCCCAAGGGAAGGUGGCAGCUUAGGCUGUGUUAUAGCCCUGGGGCGAUACAGUGGAGUGGACUGAGGUUUUCGCAGUGUGUGCUCUCUGGGCAAGGCUGACUGGGUGCUAUGGGAUCGUUCGGCGUACAAUGCAUGCAUUUUGCGUCGUGUCUUUUUCAUACUCGCUCAACUCGGCUCUUCCACACUUAGGAUGUUGACUUAAUGGUUUUAAUCGACCCGUCUUG
rnacentral:rRNA from 1 species